CCUGGAUAUCUAAUUUCUUAAUUGAUCUAAUAAAACUUUUAAGUGUACCGUGUCAGUGUGAAUCUACUGUUCCGAUCAAAUAAUAAAGGGUCACUUAAACUAAGCUUAGAGUCCAUCUAAGCAAAAAGUGUUUACUCUAUGCACCGUUUAUUUUCAAUUCGUUAAAGUACGAAAAGAACCCAUGCGUCAAAAUGCACGAAAUAAAAAAUUGAUGCUUAACUUUCAUACAAAUUCCUACAUUAUUCAUUAUAUUUGUUCAUUGCUACUUAUUCUUUAUUAUGAUAUAUUGGUAUAGGAAGCAGGAAGGCAAAUGUCUAAAUAUUUAUGUUGGGUUGGAGAAUAUUCUGAACACUGGAGAACUAAACCUUGUAUUCGAAGAUGUAAAUAAUCUGCAAACUAUGAAAGAGGAAAUAUAUUUUACAACAAAAUGUUUUUUCAUAACAACUCAUCAAGUUACUGCAGCCCAAAAACUGAUAAAACUAGGGUUUUCUCCUAAAUAUAUUUUCGUUCUAAAAUCUGAGAAUUCAGUGACAACAGAUUCUCCAGGA